UGGGGGAUAUUGCACAAUGGGCGAAAGCCUGAUGCAGCGACGCCGCGUGGGGGAUGAAGGCCUUCGGGUUGUAAACUUCUUUUGCUCUGAACAAGGCAUGCCUUUGGGGUGUGUUGAGUGUAGGGGUUGAUUAGCGCCGGCUAACUACGUGCCAGCAGCCGCGGUAAUACGUAGGGCGCGAGCGUUGUCCGGAAUUAUUGGGCGUAAAGGGCUUGUAGGUGGCUGGUUGCGUCUGUCGUGAAAGCUCAUGGCUUAACUGUGGGUUUGCGGUGGGUACGGGCUGGCUUGAGUGCAGUAGGGGAGGCUGGAAUUCCUGGUGUAGCGGUGGAAUGCGCAGAUAUCAGGAGGAAUACCGGUGGCGAAGGCGGGUCUCUGGGCUGUUACUGACGCUGAGGUGCGAAAGCGUGGGGAGCGAACAGG
rnacentral:rRNA from 1 species